GAUGAACGCUGGCGGCGUGCCUAAUACAUGCAAGUCGAGCGAACGGACGCGACGCUUGCUUCUCUGAUGUUAGCGGCGGACGGGUGAGUCACACGUGGAUACCCUCCCUAUCAGUCUGGGAUAACUUCGGGAAACGGGAGCUAAUCCCGGAUAAUAUUUUGAACCGCAUGGUUCAAAAGUGAAAGACGGUCUUGCUGUCACUUAUAGAUGGAUAUGCGCUGCAUUAGCUAGUUGGUACGGUAAAGGGUUUUCAAGGGAAGGAUGCAUAGCCGAGGUGAGAGGGUGGUCGGCCGCACGGGAGCUUGGACACGCUCCUUACGCCUACGAGAGGCAGCAGUAUGGUAUCGUCCGCAAUGGUCGAAAACCUGACGGAGCGGCGCGACGUGAGUGGUAAAGGUCUUCGGAGCGGGAAGCUCUGUUAUGGGGGAAGAACAGAUUUGUAAGGAACUGUGCAGAGCGUGACGGUACCGAAUCAGAAAGCCACGGCUAACUACGUG
rnacentral:rRNA from 1 species